UGCCUGCUCUUCCUGUGAUGAAGUAUGGGUAUCCCUGCAGAGGCUAUCAAGUGUAGGACUGCUUUUAGGGGAACUGCGGGUGGCACAGGCCUCACAUGCCAAGAAAUGAGGCAGCCAGGAGCCAGGGCUUCCGUGACAUAGGCCUGCCUUGGCAUCUGUGCGUAAUGAAAUCUGGUAAAAGUGUUCUGAGUUGUUCUUGGAUAUCUACUUGGCAUGUUCUCCUCAAUAUCUUGAUUACUUGUGGCAGUUUUCAUAUUUUAAAGCUCAUUUAAUCAUAUUUUGUG
rnacentral:lncRNA from 1 species